CUGCACUAGAACACCUGAUUACAACAACCUUCAAGCGCGCCACUGCACCGAGGAAGAACACACAGACACAGCAAUGGAUUGUGCUUCACAUACCAACAGCCAAAAUGCCUGCAAUAAAAAAAAACCUGUUGCCAAAUGUCCUACAAAACCAGGCCAAGACAUAUCAUGCCAAGACAUAUCAGGCCAAACCAUAUCAGGCCAAACCAUAUCAGGCCAAACCAUAUCAGGCCAAACCAUAUCAGGCAGUGUGAGCGGCAAUAUUUCCUUUGGCAACCAGACCAAUAAACCCAGUCAUACCGGUAAGUAAC